rnacentral:siRNA from 1 species
AUAGCAGAAGUGAUUAGGAAAAGU